CCUUCGGGUUGUAAAGUUCUUUCGCUUGGGAACAAGAGAUGUUAUCUAAUAAAUAGCAAAUUUGAGGGUACCAGGUAAAGAAGCACCGGCUAACUCCGUGC
rnacentral:rRNA from 1 species